CAGAUUGCUCAGUGCUGAUGGAGCUUUUCUUCCAUGGGACAGACAUGGAUCAUGAAAACAUAACAAAAACUGCAUUUACAUUUGUAUUUCUUUUCCUCAUCACCCUCUUCUACAGCAUUGGGGUGACUGUAAUCAAGGUGAAAUGAGUAAACAGCUAUUGGAAAUGAGUUUGGUUUUCUUCUUAUUAUUAUUAUUUUCCAAUAUACUAUUCUGAGUUAGACUUUUUGCUACUGCCUACAUACUGUAGCUACUUUCUGCAUAUAUCUGUAACUGUCAUUUAAAAGUUGAAUGCUUUUUCAUGCUUCUAUUUUAAUCUCAAAUAAAUGUCUUACAAAGUAUACAA